UACAUAGGGGGCAAGCGUUGUUCGGAAUUACUGGGCGUAAAGGGCGCGCAGGCGGCUAUCCAAGUCAGGCGUGAAAGCCCCGGGCUUAACCUGGGAGGUGCGUCUGGGACUGGGUGGCUAGAGUUCGGGAGAGGAGAGUGGAAUUCCCAGUGUAGAGGUGAAAUUCGUAGAUAUUGGGAAGAACACCGGUGGCGAAGGCGGCUCUCUGGACCGAGACUGACGCUGAGGCGCGAAAGCGUGGGGAGCAAACAGG
rnacentral:rRNA from 1 species